rnacentral:rRNA from 1 species
AGAAGCACCGGCUAACUCCGUGCCAGCAGCCGCGGUAAUACGGAGGGUGCAAGCGUUAAUCGGAAUUACUGGGCGUAAAGCGCACGCAGGCGGUUUGUUAAGUCAGAUGUGAAAUCCCCGGGCUCAACCUGGGAACUGCAUCUGAUACUGGCAAGCUUGAGUCUCGUAGAGGGGGGUAGAAUUCCAGGUGUAGCGGUGAAAUGCGUAGAGAUCUGG